rnacentral:rRNA from 1 species
GAUGAACGCUGGCGGCGUGCCUAAUACAUGCAAGUCGAGCGAACAGACGAGGAGCUUGCUCCUCUGACGUUAGCGGCGGACGGGUGAGUAACACGUGAUAACCUACCUAUAAGACUGGGAUAACUUCGGGAAACCGGAGCUAAUACCGGAUAAUAUAUUGAACCGCAUGGUUCAAUAGUGAAAGACGGUUUUGCUGUCACUUAUAGAUGGAUCCGCGCCGCAUUAGCUAGUUGGUAAGGUAACGGCUUACCAAGGCGACGAUGCGUAGCCGACCUGAGAGGGUGAUCGGCCACACUGGAAGUGAGACACGGUCCAGACUCCUACGAGAGGCAGCAGUAGGGAAUCUUACGCAAAGGGCGAAAGCCUGACGGAGCAACGGCGCGUGAGUGAUGAAGGUCUUCGGAUCGUAAAACUCUGUUAUUAGGGAAGAACAAAUGUGUAAGUAAAUAUGCACGUCUUGACGGUACCUAAUCAGAAAGCAACGGCUAACUACGUG